GCAUAGCUGGGUAGCUAUGUAUGGAAAGAAUAAGCGCUGAAAGCAUCUAAGCGCGAAGUCCACUUCAAGAUAAGAUUUCCCACCGUAAGGUUAAGAUCCCAGGAAGACUACCUGGUUGAUAGGUCAAAGGUGUAAGUGCAGUAAUGUAUGUAGCUUAUUGAUACUAAUAGAUCGAGGACUUGACCAAUAA
rnacentral:rRNA from 1 species